rnacentral:lncRNA from 1 species
UUUUUCUACACCCCUCUGGUGGUUGCUGGUAGCAAGCAGAGAUUUACUGGAGGAAUCAAAGAGGCUUCAAUCCUCCCACCAUCAGCAGCUGUUUGGCCCUGCAGCCUUCCUGCGUAGGACAGACUGCACCAAUCCUUGAAGUCAGUCAGCAGGAAUUGCACCCCUGGUUCCCAGGAAGCAGAGAUGAGCUGGUGCUGAGUGUCCUUGAAAAUUUGCCCUGUAUGCCCACUGGUGACGGGAAGACCUCCAAGAGUCCACUCCUGUGGCUCAUCUUUGCAGGAGAAAGAACUAAGCUGGGGACAAAGACUCUUCUGCCCUUUUCCCCAUCCCUAUCCCCUUCUCCUCCCUCCACUUCUGCAGCACCAGAAUGAAAAUCAGGCUCCUUCUCCCCUUCGUGCUUACAGAGAAA